AUUGAACGCUGGCGGCAGGCCUAACACAUGCAAGUCGAACGAGUGGCGGACGGGUGAGUAAUGUCUGGGAAACUGCCUGAUGGAGGGGGAUAACUACUGGAAACGGUAGCUAAUACCGCAUACCAUCAGCUGUGCCCAGAUGGGAUUAGCUGGUUGGUGGGGUAACGGCUCACCAAGGCGACGAUCCCUAGCUGGUCUGAGAGGAUGACCAGCCACACUGGAACGGAGCCACGUUCCAGACGCCUACGGGAGGCAGCAGUGGGGAAUAUGGGACAAUGGGCGCAAGCCUGAGGCAGCCAUGCCGCGUGUAUGAAGAAGGCCGUCGGGUUGUAAAGUACUGUCAGCGGGGAGGCGGUACCCGCAGAAGAAGCACCGGCUAACUCCGUGCCAGCAGCCGCGGUAAUAC
rnacentral:rRNA from 1 species